AUUGAACGCUGGCGGCAGGCCUAACACAUGCAAGUCGAGCGGAAACGAAGGGAGCUUGCUCCCAGGCGUCGAGCGGCGGACGGGUGAGUAACACGUGAGAAUCUGCCCAUUAGUGGGGGACAACUCGGGGAAACUCGAGCUAAUACCGCAUAAUCCCUACGGGGGAAAGCAGGGGACCUUUUGGCCUUGCGUUGAUGGAUGAGCUCACGUCGGAUUAGCUUGUUGGUGAGGUAAAGGCUCACCAAGGGGACGAUCCGUAGCUGGUCUGAGAGGAUGCUCAGCCACACUGGGACUCGAACACGGCCCAGACUCGAACGGGAGGCAGAAGUGGGGAAUCUUGAACAAUGGGGGAAACCCUGAUCCAGCCAUGCCGCGGGUGUGAAGAAGGCGUUCGGGUUGUAAAGCACUUUCAGCAGGGAGGAAGGCUUUGGCCGAAUAGGUUGAAGUACUUGACGUUGCCUGCAGAAGAAGCACCGGCUAAUUUCGUGCCAGCAGCCGCGGUAA
rnacentral:rRNA from 1 species